CCUACGGGAGGCAGCAGUAGGGAAUAUUGCUCAAUGGGCGGAACCCUGAAGCAGCAACGCCGCGUGGAGGAUGAAGGUGUUCGGAGUGUAAACUCUCUUUGUUAGAGAAGAAAAUGACGGUAUCUAACGAAUAAUCACCGGCUAAAGCCGUGCCAGCAGCGGUCGUAAUACGGAGGGUGCAAGCGUUACUCGGAAUCACUGGGCGUAAAGGGCGCGUAGGCGGGAUAGCAAGUCAGAUGUGAAAUCCUAUGGCUUAACCAUAGAACUGCAGUUGAAACUGUUAUUCUAGAGUAUGGGAGAGGUAGGUGGAAUUCUUGGUGUAGGGGUAAAAUCCGUAGAGAUCAAGAGGAAUACUCAUUGCGAAGGCGACCUGCUAGAACCUAACUGACGCUGAUGCGCGAAAGCGUGGGGAGCAAACAGGAUUAGAUACCCCUGUAGUC
rnacentral:rRNA from 1 species